rnacentral:rRNA from 1 species
CCAAUAGCGUAUAUUAAAGUUGUUGCAGUUAAAAAGCUCGUAGUUGAAUUUCGGGAUUAGUAGAUUGGUCAUGCCUCCGGUAUGUACUGGUCUUACUGGUUCCUCCUUCCUGAUGAACCGUAAUGCCAUUAAUUUGGUGUUGCGGGGAGACUGGACUGUUACUUUGAAAAAAUUAGAGUGUUUAAAGCAGGCUAACGCUUGAAUACAUUAGCAUGGAAUAAUGAAAUAGGACGUUCGAUCCUAUUUUGUUGGUUUCUAGGAUUGACGUAAUGAUUAAUAGGGAUAGUUGGGGGCAUUAGUAUUCAAUUGUCAGAGGUGAAAUUCUUGGAUUUAUUGAAGACUAACUACUGCGAAAGCAUUUGCCAAGGAUGUUUUCAUUAAUCAAGAACGAAAGUUAGGGGAUCGAAGACGAUCAGAUACCGUCGUAGUCUUAACCAUAAACUAUGCCGACUAGGGAUCGGAUGAUGUUAAUUUUUUAAUGACUCA